AGAGCUCAAAUUUUAAAUCUGGUAGUCUUUGGCUAUCCGAGUUGUAAUCUAGAGAAGUGUUAUCCGCGCUGGACCGUGUAUAAGUCUCCUGGAAUGGAGCGUCAUAGAGGGUGAGAAUCCCGUCUUUGACACGGACUACCAGGGCUUUGUGAUGCGCUUUCAAAGAGUCGAGUUGUUUGGGAAUGCAGCUCUAAAUGGGUGGUAAGUUCCAUCUAAAGCUAAAUAUUGGCGAGAGACCGAUAGCGAA
rnacentral:rRNA from 1 species